rnacentral:rRNA from 1 species
AUGGAGCGUCUUCUAAAUGAGAAACCCAAUUAUUCUUUUUUACGCAUUUUUGGGUGUGCGGUAUGGCCCAAUCUUCGUCCCUACAAUCAACACAAACUUCAAUUUCGUUUCAAACAGUGUGUUUUUCUAGGCUAUAGUGGCCUUCAUAAAGGGUAUAAGUGUCUCGAUGUCACCACUGGUCGAGUUUAUAUAUCCAGAGAUGUUGUUUUUGAUGAAUCCAUUUUCCCUUUUUCGAAUCUUCAUCCUAAUGCCGGCGCACAACUUCGAGCAGAAAUCUUUCUAUUACCACAAAAUCUCCUCAGUCCAUUCACUCCUUUAGAUCAUGGGAAUAAUGAGCGUAAUGAUCAUUUGUCAAUUUCCAAUACUGUUGAUGCUCACAGUUUCGAAAACAGUGCUUUUGGAAAUGAUUUUAUGCAGGAUGAAAUAGCCACAACAGGUCAGGGCACGGCAAGCCAGGCGGACUCACCUGGCCUCACGGGAUCCGGCGCUUCCCUGGAUGGCAGCGGAUCUGCCACGGGAUCUGUACCUGGCACCCUGACGCGGCGGGAGCCCCUAGAAACUGCUCCUCGCGCCUCGUGCGGGUCGGCCCAGGAGCGAACGGCCCCCGCUUCGCCAGGUGGGCACCCCCGAGUGGAGGACGCGGUCGAUUCCGCGUGCGCUGCUGGUGGCUCACCAAGUGGUGGCCUAUCAAUGGAAGUGGGCUGCCCCGAUUCACCCGCCGCGUCGGCCCAUGAUGCUCCUGCGGAUUCACGAUCCGAGACGGAUCGAUCGGCCCCUGAUGCUGCAGCGGGCGCCGGAUCUUCUGCGAAUUUUGUGCCACAGCCACGCCAACCUUCUCAGCUGCCUUCACAAGCACAUACACGGUCAAAAAGUGGUAUUUUUCGCCCUAAAGAAUAUAAGGAUGGCUGUAUUCGUUGGGCUGGUUUCUGCAGUACAGGAGAACCUGACACUCUACAAGAGGCUUUUGGUGAUGCAAAGUGGAGAGAGGCUAUGGAUGCUGAAUAUCUUGCUCUCAUGAAAAAUGAGACAUGGCAUCUUGUUCCGUUUCAGAGAGGACUUAACAUUAUUGACUGUAAGUGGGUAUAUAAAGUUAAGCGCAAAUCUGAUGGUACUAUUGACAGGUACAAAGCACACUUAGUUGCUAAAGGCUCCAAGCAUCGUUAUGGCAUUGACUACGAGGACACCUUUAGUCCUGUAGUGAAGGCAGCGACGAUCAGGUUAAUUCUGUCUGUUGCUGUGUCAAAAGGGUGGUGUAUGCGGCAAUUGGAUGUGCAGAAUGCGUUCCUUCAUGGUGUUCUGGAAGAGGAGGUCUAUAUGAGGCAACCACCAGGGUAUGAGGAUCUCAAGAAACCUGGUUUUCUGUGUAAGUUAGACAAAACACUAUAUGGGUUGAAACAGGCACCACGUGCAUGGUACUCUCGUCCAUCCACCAAAGUACAGUCACUUGGUUUUACUCCUUCAAAGGCAGAUACCUCUCUAUUCUUCUAUAGCAGAAAUGGAAUAACCAUAUUUAUGCUUAUUUAUGUUAAUGAUAUUAUUGUCACAAGCUCAUGCUCAGAGGCAGUCGAAGCACUACUCCGUGAUCUGCGUGGAGAUUUCUCACUGAAGGAUCUGGGAGACUUGCAUUACUUCUUGGGAAUAGAGGUAACAUCAGUACACAACGGAAUUAUUUUGUCUCAAGGAAAAUAUAUUGCAGACAUAAUAAAGAGAGCUGGCAUGAAGGAUUGUAAGCCAGUCACUACACCAUUAUCUACAUUAGAGAAAUUGUCCUUGGCAGAGGGCGAGCUACUCGGGGGAGAAGAUUCUACCAGGUACAGGAGCAUAGUUGGUGCGCUGCAAUAUUUAACACUAACUAGACCUGAUAUAUCAUUCUCAGUAAAUAAGGUGUGCCAUUUUUUGCAUGCUCCCACUACGGUUCAUUGGUCAACAGUGAAGAGAAUUAUUCGGUAUCUCAGAUAUACAUCUUCUGUUGGGCUAAAACUUGUGAAGUCAGACUCAUCUCUUGUUAGUGCUUUUUCUGAUGCUGAUUGGGCAGGUUGUCCUGAUGACAGAAGGUCCACUGGAGGUUUUGCUAUAUUUUUUGGAUGCAAUCUUGUUUCAUGGACUGCACGGAAGCAGCCCACAGUAUCAAGAUCUAGCACAGAAGCAGAAUAUAAGUCCCUUGCAAAUGCAACAGCAGAGGUAAUUUGGGUACAAUCAUUGCUAAAGGAACUUGGUAUUUGCCAAUCACGAGCAGCAACAUUGUGGUGUGAUAAUCUUGGUGCCACUUAUUUGUCAGCAAAUCCUGUGUUUCAUGCUAGAACUAAACAUAUUGAAGUGGACUAUCACUUUGUCAGAGAAAGAGUAGCAAAUAAGUUACUAAACAUUCGGUUCAUACCGACAGGAGAUCAAGUUGCAGAUGGGUUUACGAAGCCUUUGACAGUGAGGCAGCAAGAAGCUUUUUGGCGUAAUCUCAACUUAGAUAAGUUGUGA